rnacentral:rRNA from 1 species
CGCGUAGGCGGCUUAUCAAGUCAGGCGUGAAAGCCCCGGGCUUAACCUGGGAACUGCGCUUGAGACUGAUAGGCUUGAGUUUCGGAGAGGUAGGUGGAAUUCCCAGUGUAGAGGUGAAAUUCGUAGAUAUUGGGAAGAACACCGGUGGCGAAGGCGGCCUACUGGACGAAUACUGACGCUGAGGCGCGAAAGCGUGGGGAGCAAACA